AUUGAACGCUGGCGGCAGGCCUAACACAUGCAAGUCGAGCGGAGCGGCGGCCGGGUGCGUAAUACCUAGGAAUCUGCAUGGUCGUGGGGGAUGAGGUUCGGUAAUGGGCGCUAGUACUGAUUCCUAUCACUUGAGCAUAGGCCGGAUUGGGUAGUUGGUGGGGUAAAGGCCUAACAAGGCGACGAUCCGUAUCUGGUCUGAGAGGAUGAUCAGUCACACUGGAACUGAGACACGGUCCAGACUCCUACGGGAGGCAGCAGUGGUGAAUAUUGGACAAUGGGCGAAAGCCUGAUCCAGCCAUGCCGCGUGUGUGAAGAAGGUCUUCGGAUUGUAAAGUACUUUAAGCUGGGAGGCGUUACCAACAGAAUAAGCACCGGCUAACUCCGUGCCAGCAGCCGCGGUAAUUC
rnacentral:rRNA from 1 species